rnacentral:rRNA from 1 species
AGUGAACGCUGGCGGUAGGCCUAACACAUGCAAGUCGAACGGCAGCACAGUAAGAGCUUGCUCUUACGGGUGGCGAGUGGCGGACGGGUGAGGAAUACAUCGGAAUCUACUUUUUCGUGGGUGAUAACGUAGGGAAACUUACGCUAAUACCGCAUACGACCUACGGGUGAAAUCAGGGGAUCUUCGGACCUUGCGCGAUUGAAUGAGCCGAUGUCGGAUUAGCUAGUUGGCGGGGUAAAGGCCCACCAAGGCGACGAUCCGUAGCUGGUCUGAGAGGAUGAUCAGCCACACUGGAACUGAGACACGGUCCAGACUCCUACGGGAGGCAGCAGUGGGGAAUAUUGGACAAUGGGCGCAAGCCUGAUCCAGCCAUACCGCGUGGGUGAAGAAGGCCUUCGGGUUGUAAAGCCCUUUUGUUGGGAAAGAAAAGCAGCAGGUUAAUACCCCGCUGUUCUGACGGUACCCAAAGAAUAAGCACCGGCUAACUUCGUG